UACGUAGGGGGCAAGCGUUGUUCGGAAUUACUGGGCGUAAAGGGCGCGUAGGCGGCACAGCAAGUCGGGAGUGAAAGCCCGGGGCUCAACCCCGGAACUGCUUUCGAAACUGCUGAGCUAGAGUGCGGAAGGGGCAACCGGAAUUCCCAGUGUAGCGGUGAAAUGCGUAGAUAUUGGGAAGAACACCUGAGGCGAAGGCGGGUUGCCAGAAUGCGCUCGACGGUGAGGGAUGAAAGCUGGGGGAGCAAACCGG
rnacentral:rRNA from 1 species